UACGAAGGGGGCUAGCGUUGCUCGGAAUCACUGGGCGUAAAGGGUGCGUAGGCGGGUCUUUAAGUCAGGGGUGAAAUCCUGGAGCUCAACUCCAGAACCGCCUUUGAUACUGAGGAUCUUGAGUUCGGGAGAGGUGAGUGGAACUGCGAGUGUAGAGGUGAAAUUCGUAGAUAUUCGCAAGAACACCAGUGGCGAAGGCGGCUCACUGGCCCGAUACUGACGCUGAGGCACGAAAGCGUGGGGAGCAAACAGG
rnacentral:rRNA from 1 species